GCUUGUCUCAAAGAUUAAGCCAUGCAUGUCUAAGUAUAAGCAUUAUACAGUGAAACUGCGAAUGGCUCAUUAUAUCAGUUAUAGUUUAUUUGAUAGUCCCUACUAUUUGGAUAACCGUAGUAAUUCUAGAGCUAAUACAUGCAUCAAGCAGUCUCACGGCUGUGUAUUUAUUAGAUACAAUCAGCCCCCUCGGGGUCAUGAUGAAUCAUAAUAACUGAACGAAGCGCAUGCUCACGCGGCGCUGUUUCAUUCAAGUUUCUGCCCUAUCAGCUUUCGAUGGUAGUGUAUUGGACUACCAUGGCAGUAACGGGUAACGAAGAAUUAGGGUUCGAUUUCGGAGAGGGAGCAUGAGAAACGGCUACCACAUCUAAGGAAGGCAGCAGG
rnacentral:rRNA from 1 species